UUUUCUGAAGUUUUAGUGGAGGGGACUUUGGAUACUUAUGUGAAAUGUUUUUGGUGGUUUGUUUUGUUUGGGACAAAGUACGACGGAGGUCUGCUGUGGUCCACGGGAAUUUUUGGAGGAACAGAUCCAUGGGCAACCAUGGAGACAAAUGUUUUACUGCCCUUUGAACAGUCUCAGGGUAAAGACAGCACAGGUUAAGGCAUCUGUGUGGCAAUAAUUGUACUUGGUGGCUGAGUUGUUAAAAACAAAGUGCGCUACCUUCAAAAACUAAAUGUAGGAGUAAGUGAUUUAAAAAAACACUCUACAAGCAUGCUGGCGCCAGCGAAAGAAUAACCCAGAAUACUAUGAAUCUAUGUUUUGCGUUCUUUGUCUGUGGUGUUUGUCUUGUUGCUAGCAUGACGUGGGUGGGGGAUGGCUUCAAAAGGCUGACGGGUGGAAAAUGUGUACGAAAAUGCAAAAUGCUCAACGCGGAGGCCAGCACCUGUGUAACAGCUACCAUGGUACCUGAAAAUAGAACGGCAACUAAAAUGAUGCUUGCUAAAAGUUUACCCCAAUAAACAUCAAAUUGUUUGCGCCUUUGAA